GUUUACCGCUAUACCACCCUGAACGUGCCCGAUCUUGUCUGAUCUCAGAAGCUGAGCAGGGUCGGGCCUGGUUAGUACUUGGAUGGGAGACCAAACACAGAAGUUUGCACAUACA
ensembl:rRNA 5S_rRNA 5S ribosomal RNA